UUUGUUGCUGUCGGCCCCUGCUGUUCUCAUUUAGAUCUCAGGAUUCUGCAGAUUUGGAGCGAUGGUGGGUGAAGCUGAUCUUCUUUAUUUGUGAACCGGGGUUCACGUCAAAGGAGCCGCUCAGAUACUCUCCUGUUAGCUUUGUGAAAGCAAGCAUAAUUCACAAUAGCCAGGAUGUGGAAACAACCCAAGUGCCCUUCUACAGAUGAAAGGAUAAAGAAGAUGUGGCAUAUAUAUAUACAAUGGAAUACUACUCAGCCAUAAAAAUGACAAAAUGGUCCCAUUUGCAACAACAUGCAUGGACCUGGAGGGUGUGGUGUUAAGCGAAAUAAGCCAGACAGAGAAAGGCAAAUACUGCCUGAUUUCACUCAUAUGCGGAUGAUAACAAAUACAAGGAUAAAGAGAACAGAUUAGUUGUUACCAGAGGGGAAGGGGGUUGGAGGGUGGGCGAAAGGGACAAAGGGGCACAUAUGUAUGGUGAUGGAUAAAAAUUAGACUACUGAG
ensembl:lncRNA